rnacentral:tRNA from 1 species
GGCCUGUUGGUCUAGGGGUAUGAUUCUCGCUUCGGGUGCGAGAGGUCCCGGGUUCAAAUCCCGGACUGCCUU